GCAAUAUUGUAUGUAAACACAAUCAUGCCAAUUAAGUACUUUUAAAUUGAAAUUGAAUUGUAUUUAGCAGAGAUGGACCACUUCUAUUAAAAUAAUUGGGAGAAAUUGGAACGCCCAAGAUCAACAGAUGUAGAAAGGAAGUCCCGCCUUACAGAUAGGAGCUGCACCGACAUGACUGGAAAUAUCCUCCCGAGAGCAUCCCAAAGAUGGCCGACAGUGAACUGACUUGCUAGAACGACUUCUCUACAUACAGAAAUAUUUCAAUUGUUCCUGUUUGCUUGAAUACAGAUCUUCUCUUGUAGGCUGAUGGGGAUAUUCACAGCAUUUAUUGGUGGAUUACUGUGGGAGGAGCUUCACAGAAGGUGUGAAUUGUGAUCGCUGUGUGGGAGGAGGAGAUUUGCAGAAAUCAAAUGUGUUACACAAAAACUUACUGAAUAUAUGUUUCAUGAUAUGUGUUUUAGUGUUCAUGUUAAAUUCAUGUUUAAUUUUAUUUUCUUAUAUUUAUUUAAAAAAGGAACUGCAUUUAUUAAACAAAAGUGAAUUGGUCUAGUAUGAUUCUUUCUGCACUUGUUUCUUUCUUAACUACUUGAGCUAAUUUUGGAUCUUGUGAGUGCAAUACUACAGAUUUUGUUGUCUAUUGUAUGACAAAUGACUUUUGAUGUACCUCAUUUGUAAGUCGCUUUUGAAAUAUGCAACUGUAUAUUCAACAUUUAAAUAAACUAGGGCUGUCGUACAAUGGU